GACGAACGCUGGCGGCGUGCCUAAUACAUGCAAGUUGAGCGCUGAAGGUUGGUACUUGUACCGACUGGAUGAGCAGCGAACGGGUGAGUAACGCGUGGGGAAUCUGCCUUUGAGCGGGGGACAACAUUUGGAAACGAAUGCUAAUACCGCAUAAAAACUUCAAACACAAGUUUUAAGUUUGAAAGAUGCAAUUGCAUCACUCAAAGAUGAUCCCGCGUUGUAUUAGCUAGUUGGUGAGGUAAAGGCUCACCAAGGCGAUGAUACAUAGCCGACCUGAGAGGGUGAUCGGCCACAUUGGGACUGAGACACGGCCCAAACUCCUACGGGAGGCAGCAGUAGGGAAUCUUCGGCAAUGGACGAAAGUCUGACCGAGCAACGCCGCGGGAGUGAAGAAGGUUUUCGGAUCGUAAAACUCUGUUGGUAGAGAAGAACGUUGGUGAGAGUGGAAAGCUCAUCAAGUGACGGUAACUACCCAGAAAGGGACGGCUAACUACGUG
rnacentral:rRNA from 1 species